GACGAACGCUGGCGGCGUGCCUAAUACAUGCAAGUAGAACGCUGAAGGAGGAGCUUGCUUCUCUGGAUGAGUUGCGAACGGGUGAGUAACGCGUAGGUAACCUGCCUGGUAGCGGGGGAUAACUAUUGGAAACGAUAGCUAAUACCGCAUAAUAGCAGUUGUUGCAUGUUAACUGUUUGAAAGGUGCAAUUGCACCACUACCAGAUGGACCUGCGUUGUAUUAGCUAGUUGGUGGGGUAACGGCUCACCAAGGCGACGAUACAUAGCCGACCUGAGAGGGUGAUCGGCCACACUGGGACUGAGACACGGCCCAGACUCCUACGGGAGGCAGCAGUAGGGAAUCUUCGGCAAUGGACGGAAGUCUGACCGAGCAACGCCGCGUGAGUGAAGAAGGUUUUCGGAUCGUAAAGCUCUGUUGUAAGAGAAGAACGAGUGUGAGAGUGGAAAGUUCACACUGUGACGGUAUCUUACCAGAAAGGGACGGCUAACUACGUG
rnacentral:rRNA from 1 species